CAAAUGUUACUACACGUUGUGAUCUAACGGAAUUUGGCGCGCGGCCAUUACUGUUGAGGCGGUUUGUCCAUGUAAACAUUGAGGGAGUUGAUGUGGAGAGUAGCGCCAUAAAACAUGGAAUUGAUACGGCUGGACAUAUUGGUUUGCGAGCUAAUGAAAGGUGCCAUCAUAUCAAGGUUGUUUUGUUGGUUGACAGGCUGAGACAAAGAUGAGAGGACUGUUGAAGUUGUUGUGCACGAGAUUCUGAUUUGCUAGCUGCAAGAAUUUGAACACCAUACCAUUCACUAACUAAGGAGUAGUUAUAUGUAUACAUGUCUGAAUUUGAUUCAUAUUUGUGAGUGAUGAAGUAUUGUGCUAGAAUUAUUUAUAGAAUUAAAAACUCCAAGCUGUGACAAAAACUUUUUCUACUAUGAUGCAAAAUUUCAAUCGCAGUAGUUUAUUACAGAUGAAAGAUGUGUCACAAAUAUGGAGAAUUGUACAGAAUGAGACGCUAUUAAGUUUAUUCAUCAAGUGGAUUUAUAUGCAUGUAUUAUUCAGUGAAACAAAAGCGACAACCAGAUGCAGUUUGUACACUAAAUAUGGACUUCGUAACUGUUCGCCACAAAACAUGUAUAACUAUGCGGUCUGAAAGUGGCGUUAACCACCAUCAAUCAAUCAACAUAUAGAUGCAUUUUAUGUACAAUGUAUGUACAUUGUUUAUUCACCUGAAGUUAGAAAAUUCGAUUACACUCGAGCAAAUGUGCAGUAAAAAUGAUCCGUGUGUUUUCUAAAUAUUUUAUAAAAAUAAAAUGUGAUUUAUUCCUGUGAA